UGGGGAAUAUUGCACAAUGGGCGCAAGCCUGAUGCAGCGACGCCGCGUGGGGGAUGACGGCCUUCGGGUUGUAAACCUCUUUCAGCAGGGACGAAGCGAAAGUGACGGUACCUGCAGAAGAAGCACCGGCCAACUACGUGCCAGCAGCCGCGGUAAUACGUAGGGUGCGAGCGUUGUCCGGAACUACUGGGCGUAAAGAGCUCGUAGGUGGUUUGUCGCGUUGUUCGUGAAAACCGGGGGGCUUAACCCUCGGCGUGCGGGCGAUACGGGCAGACUAGAGUACUGCAGGGGAGACUGGAAUUCCUGGUGUAGCGGUGGAAUGCGCAGAUAUCAGGAGGAACACCGGUGGCGAAGGCGGGUCUCUGGGCAGUAACCGACGCUGAGGAGCGAAAGCGUGGGGAGCGAACAGGAUUAGAUACCCUGGUAGUCCACGCCGUAAACGGUGGGUACUAGGUGUGGGUUUCCUUCCUUGGGAUCCGUGCCGUAGCUAACGCAUUAAGUACCCCGCCUGGGGGAGUACGGCCGCAAGGCU
rnacentral:rRNA from 1 species